GUCCUGCUGACGAAUCUUAAAUUGGACGAAACAGCUGUCCAGUAC
rnacentral:hammerhead_ribozyme from 1 species